rnacentral:lncRNA from 1 species
UCAUUUGAAAUAUCGUAGUGUCAUUUAAAUGUCAUAGUGUCAUUUGAAAUGUCAUAGUAUCAUUUGAAAUAUCAUAGUGUCAUUUGAAAUCUUGUAGUGUCAUUUAAAAGGUCGUAGUGUCAUUUGAAAUGCCGUAGUAUCAUUUGAAAUCUUGUAGUGUCAUUUAUAUACUACAUACUUAAAAGAAAGAAACUACAAGUAUUAAAAGAAAAAAAAACUACAUACUUAAAAGAAAGAAACUAUAGAAACUUAUAGAAGAAAGAAAUUACAAGUAAAAAGAAAGAAACUAUAUAUUUAAAAGAAAGAAACUAUAGAAAAAAAAUAAAGAAAUUAUAGAAAUGAAAUGAUAAAAAUAAAGAAACUAUAUAAUUUAAAACUGAAAAAACAAAAAGAAAGAGAAAAAAUGCGUAUAUAUGUCAAAAAGUGAGAAAAAUGUUAAAUGAAGAAAGAAACUACAUACUUAAAAUAAAGAAACUACAAGUAUUAGAAAAAAGAAAAACACUACAUACUUAAAAGAAAGAAACUACAAGUAUUAAAAGAUAAAAAACUACAUACUUAAAAGAAAGAAACUAUAGAAACUUAUAAAAGAAAGAAACUACAAGUAAAAAGAAAGAAACUAUAUACUUAAAAGAAAGAAACUAUAGAAAUAAAAUAAAAAAAUAAUAAUUAAAAAAUUGAAACGAAAAAGAAAAAAGAAGAAGACACUAUAUUUAUAUCUAAAGGACACUUUUAAUAUAUCUAAAUGAUACUAUUUUUCUUGGUAAAUGACACCAUUAAUAUGUAAAAAAUACUUUAAACACAAAGAAUAAAAAUAUUAAAAAUCAUGUUUGUCGAAAAGAAAUUACACUAUAACAUUGACACUAUUUUUGUUAAUAAAAAACACUUUAAAAAUACUAUAACAUUGACA